rnacentral:rRNA from 1 species
UACGGGGGGGGGCAAGCGUUGUUCGGAAUUACUGGGCGUAAAGGGCUCGUAGGCGGCCAACUAAGUCGGACGUGAAAUCCCUCGGCUCAACCGGGGAACUGCGUCCGAUACUGGAUGGCUCGAGUUCGGGAGAGGGAUGCGGAAUUCCAGGUGUAGCGGUGAAAUGCGUAGAUAUCUGGAGGAACACCGGUGGCGAAGGCGGCAUCCUGGACCGAUACUGACGCUGAGGAGCGAAAGCCAGGGGAGCAAACGGG